ensembl:lncRNA MAP9-AS1 MAP9 antisense RNA 1
UAUUCAGUCCAGGUUUAAGUCCUUCAGCAUCUGACAUUCUCCUGGCAACUGUAAUUGAAUCAAUGAUGACUCAUCUGAGAUGAGCAAGUUGGUCCAGUCAGACCAAACAAAAGACAUUCUAUAAUCAGGGGAGAAGUCUUCUCUAUAUCUCUCUUAUAUGAGCAAAUUUAAUGACCUCCACCAUCUCUAAGAACAAGCAGCUAUUUCUGUAGAGAAAGAUCAUCUUUGGAUAACAAUACAUGAUUUUAGGCUCUAAAAGUUAAAACGUGUUUGUAACGUUGAUAUUAUGCAGAGGUCUUGACAGAACUUGGCAGUCUCUGAGGCUACAGAGAAGUGUGAAAAAGAGCAUAGAGAUUUCAGAAGGAGGCAGAUUCAGUCAGACGUACUGAAUCCCGUUUGAUCUCAACUCAGGCACACUCCAGAUGGACGAUGUGAGAAUCACAGCAAAGGAAGAAUGGGCAUGAAUAGUAAAUGGUAAAUGUGGGGAUGCAGUAUUGAACAGCACACUGGAGUUUUUGUCCAGAAGUUUGACUUUAGAAGAUAAGAAAUAACUGAGCGUAUUACAAGCAGGAGUUAGAGGAAGAGACUCAGUACAGAAGAGACAGGAACAAAAGUUCACCUCCAUUCAAUGGGAAAGGAUACAGAUCAAGAGUUCAGGAAAAGUAGGAGAAAGAAGCUCUAUUCCAGAAGCAGUCUGGAGCACAAAGAAUCCCUAAUCACUGACAUUAAGAAAGAAGAAAAAUAUUCCUAGGACGAUCCUGGAGAGCAAAGGUCAUCAGCAGUCACUUGACUUUCCUUGGAUUUCUCAACUGCAGUAGUCACAUGGUCUGCUG